UACCUGUGGUACUGGGGUCGCGAUGUC
rnacentral:sRNA from 1 species